rnacentral:tRNA from 1 species
GUGGGUACAGCUCAGUGGUAGAGCAUGUGCUUAGCAUGCAUGAGGUCCUGGGUUCAAUUCCCAGUAUCUCCA